rnacentral:rRNA from 1 species
AUUGAACGCUGGCGGCAUGCUUUACACAUGCAAGUCGAACGGUAACAGGGUGCUUGCACCGCUGACGAGUGGCGAACGGGUGAGUAAUGCGUCGGAACGUGCCGAGUAGUGGGGGAUAGCGCAUCGAAAGGUGUGCUAAUACCGCAUACGUACUGAGGUAGAAAGUGGGGGACCUUCGGGCCUCACGCUAUUCGAGCGGCCGACGUCUGAUUAGCUAGUUGGUGAGGUAAAGGCUCACCAAGGCGACGAUCAGUAGCGGGUCUGAGAGGAUGAUCCGCCACACUGGGACUGAGACACGGCCCAGACUCCUACGGGAGGCAGCAGUGGGGAAGUUUGGACAAUGGGCGCAAGCCUGAUCCAGCCAUGCCGCGUGUCUGAAGAAGGCCUUCGGGUUGUAAAGGACUUUUGUCCGGGAGCAAAUACCCAGUGCUAAUAACGCUGGGGGCUGAGAGUACCGGAAGAAUAAGCACCGGCUAACUACGUGCCAGCCGCCGCAGUAAAAC